CAUGUCUUUUUGAUCAUAAUUUAAAGUUUAAUCUGCUCUAUGAAAAAAAUUAAAUGGCCGCAGUAUUUUGACUGUGCAAAGGUAGCAUAAUAAUUAGUUUCUUGAUUGGAAUCUGGAAUGAAUGAUUGGACGAGAAAUUUUCUGUCUCUUAUUAAUUUAAAUUAAAAUUUUAUUUUUAAGUUAAAAAGCUUAAAUUUUUUUUAAAGACGAGAAGACCCUAUAGAGUUUAAUUUUUGUUUAUAAAUUUAUUUUUUGGUAUUAAUUUUUUGUUUAUAAUAAAAUAUUUAAUUGGGGUGAUUUUAAAAUUUAAUAAACUUUUAUUAUUUUUUUACAUUAAUUAAUGAUUUUUUGAUCCAUUAUUUUUGAUUAUAAGAUUAAAUUACCUUAGGGAUAACAGCGUAAUAUUUUUGGAGAGUUCUUAUUAAUAAAAAUGAUUGCGACCUCGAUGUUGGAUUAAAAUUAAUUUAUGGUGCAGAAGCUUUAAAUUUUAGGUCUGUUCGACCUUUAAAAUUUUACAUGAUCUGAGU
rnacentral:rRNA from 1 species